GUAGGUGGCAAGCGUUGUCCGGAAUUAUUGGGCGUAAAGCGCGCGCAGGCGGUUCUUUAAGUCUGAUGUGAAAGCCCACGGGCUCAACCGUGGAGGGUCAUUGGAAACUGGAGAACUUGAGUACAGAAGAGGAAAGCGGAAUUCCACGUGUAGCGGUGAAAUGCGUAGAGAUGUGGAGGAACACCAGUGGCAAAGGCGGCUUUCUGGUCUGUAACUGACGCUGAGGCGCGAAAGCGUGGGGAGCAAACAGGAUUAGAUACCCUGGUAGUCCACGCCGUAAACGAUGAGUGCUAAGUGUUAGGGGGUUUCCGCCCCUUAGUGCUGCAGCUAACGCAUUAAGCACUCCGCCUGGGGAGUACGGCCGCAAGGCUG
rnacentral:rRNA from 1 species